GCUUCAAUAGUCCAAUGGUUAGGAUUCCACCCUUCCAAGGUGGAGGUCGGCGUUCAAUUCGCCGUUGUUGCA
rfam:Sclerotinia sclerotiorum 1980 scaffold_2 genomic scaffold, whole genome shotgun sequence.